CUUGUUGCUUCGGCGGGCCCGCCGCAAGGUCGUAGGGGGGCAUCUGCCCUCUGGCCCGCGCCCGCCGAAGACACCAUUGAACGCUGUCUGAAGAUUGCAGUCUGAGCAAUUAGUUAAAUAACUUAAAACUUUCAACAACGGAUCUCUUGGUUCCGGCAUCGAUGAAGAACGCAGCGAAAUGCGAUACGUAAUGUGAAUUGCAGAAUUCAGUGAAUCAUCGAGUCUUUGAACGCACAUUGCGCCCCCUGGUAUUCCGGGGGGCAUGCCUGUCCGAGCGUCAUUGCUGCCCUCAAGCACGGCUUGUGUGUUGGGCUCCGUCCUCCUUCCGGGGGACGGGCCCGAAAGGCAGCGGCGGCACCGCGUCCGGUCCUCGAGCGUAUGGGGCUUCGUCACCCGCUCUGUAGGCCCGGCCGGCGCUUGCCGACACAUCAAUCUUUUUUCCAGGUUGACCUCGGAUCAGGUAGGGAUACC
rnacentral:rRNA from 1 species